UAGUUAAUUAUAUUUGAAUAGAAUUUACGAAUUUUAGAAAUAAAUAUUUAAUUAACGAAUAUUUAUUUUUAUACGUUUUAAAUGUUUUAAUGAUUUAUGCAAUGUAAAAUAAUUUUAGAAUUCUAUGUUGAAAAGACUUUGAAUUUCGAAAACACAUUUGAAAUUGGGAAACCAAGCCUAAUCGAUUUUGGAUUCAAAUACUAAAAGUAAAUCCUAAUCCUAGCCCAAAUUGGUGAAGCCCAAAACAAAUAAACCCAAAAUAAACCCAUAACUCUCUCUCCUCUCCUUCACUCACGUAAAACUCAAAGGAAACAAAAACCCUCUUUCCCUCUUCUUCCUGCUGCACGUGAACAGGAACCUCAAGCCCCUCUUCUCGUCGCCGCCGUCCAGCCGACCACCGUCGUCCUUUACCGAAGCCUCAGCCGCCGCCUCCGCGCCACCGCAGUAUCCGCCCAGUCAUUGCUGCGCCGCCGCGUCCUUCGCCCACACCAGAAACCUCUCCUCUCCCUUCGUUCUCCUCCACGCACGCAACGACAUUCCCUUCUCUCGUUGCUUCUUUCUUCCUGCCCCACAAACUCAGCCGUCGCUGCACGGCCACCGCAACCACCAGCAGCGUCACUCAGCCGCUGCACCACCUGCCCGCUUGUUGCCGCACCACCUUGUCCACCGGCAGCUUCUUGUUUUCUCUCUUUGGUGGAGAAUUCUCCGUAGGCGACUUUUGAAUUAUUAAAGUGGUCUUGCAGUUUGUUUACACAAGUCUCUAAGGAUCAAUAAGCAUUGUCCAUCUGCAGGUUUGAAGAUGUUGCAUCAUUGGGAUCGGGAAUAGAGAGCUUGUAUUUAGUUUUGAUUUGCUAAGUUGACUUGGGUUUGUUUAAAUGGACUUUAAACUUGUCAUACUAUUUAUAUUUCCUUAUUUUCGUUGGUUGAUUUUUGAGACUAAACCUGUAAUCGAUUAUUUAUAAACCUAAAGUUAGUUUUAUGUUUUC